AAAUUGAAGAGUUUGAUCAUGGCUCAGAUUGAACGCUGGCGGCAGGCCUAACACAUGCAAGUCGAACGGUAACAGGAAGCAGCUUGCUGCUUUGCUGACGAGUGGCGGACGGGU
rnacentral:rRNA from 2 species